rnacentral:sRNA from 1 species
UCGAUCUGUCCCAAGCAUUCAUGUUCCCUCACCAGCUGUACCUAAAUUAACAAUGGCGAAAUGCAGGCGAAAUGUGGAGAAUUUCCUAGAAGCUUGCAGAAAAAUUGGUGUACCUCAGGUAAUAAAUUUAUCAUUUUUUAUGUUGCCUAAAUAGACUUGGUUGUCCUAAAAUUUUAGAAAUGCAAAUCUCUAAAAUCUUAUAAGACUAGCUCUGAGCUAAGUCGAUCAUAAUUAACAUGACUUUGUGUUACAAGAGUCAGUAUACUUUUGAACAGUUUUCCUUGAUUAUUUCCAAGGACCACACAAAGAAAUUAUAAAUAUAUAAAUUGAAAUAAUUAUAAGUAAUUUGAAAUAAUUAUUCUAUUUUCCUAAACUUUCCCACUUGCUAUUUGACAACUAAAUAUAUCCUUCAAAAACUAAGUAUAUCUCAGAUUGAGAAUGCUGCAGUUGGCUUCAGUGUUCUAACACUUGCUUUGAUACUUUUUAAAAUCUUUUAGACUUCCAGAAAUGUUGAAAAAAUAGCCUAGAGUUCCUUUGUAUACUUCACUCAAUUUCUUCGAAUGUUAACUAACAUCUAAUACAAACAUAGGACAGUGAUUCAAACUAGGUAACACAAGAACAAUACGAUUAACUGAAUUAUAGUCUUUAUUUGGAUUUCAUCAGUUUUUCCACGAAGCUCUGG